rnacentral:rRNA from 1 species
CCUACGGGGUGCAGCAGUGAGGAAUAUUGGUCAAUGGACGAGAGUCUGAACCAGCCAAGUAGCGUGAAGGAUGACUGCCCUAUGGGUUGUAAACUUCUUUUAUAUGGGAAUAAAAUGUUCCACGUGUGGGAUUUUGUAUGUACCAUAUGAAUAAGGAUCGGCUAACUCCGUGCCAGCAGCCGCGGUACUACGGAGGAUCCGAGCGUUAUCCGGAUUUAUUGGGUUUAAAGGGAGCUUAGGUGGAUUGUUAAGUCAGUUGUGAAAGUUUGCGGCUCAACCGUAAAAUUGCAGUUGAAACUGGCAGUCUUGAGUACAGUAGAGGUGGGCGGAAUUCGUGGUGUAGCGGUGAAAUGCUUAGAUAUCACGAAGAACUCCGAUUGCGAAGGCAGUUCACUGGACUGCAACUGACACUGAGGCUCGAAAGUGUGGGUAUCAAACAGGAUUAGAUACCCCAGUAGUC